UGGGGUUUAUUCCGGGAUUUAAUUGGGGUUUAAAAGGGAGCGCAGGCUGUUUAUUAAAGNCGUGAACGUGAAAAUGUAGCCGUUUCAACGGNUGAGUUGNGUCGCGAACUGGUAUUCUUGAGUGAGUGCGACGUCAGCGGAAUUUGUGGUGUAGCGGUGAAAUGCUUAGAUAUCACGAAGAACCCCGAUUGCGAAGGCAGCGUACCAGUCCUUUACUGACGNUAAAGCUCGAAGGUGCGGGUAUCGAACAGGAUUAGAUACCNCUGGUAGUCCGCACGGUACACGAUGGAUGCCCGCUGUCGGCGAUAGAAUGUCGGCGGCCAAGCGAAAGCGUUAAGCAUCCCCACCUGGGGAGUACGCCGGCCAAGCGGUGA
rnacentral:rRNA from 1 species